rnacentral:ncRNA from 3 species
AACCGCCCGGUGCGGACCCGCAUGCCGGGUGGUGUGGGAGGGGUCGGGCCGCGAGGCCUGCCCCUAUCCCAAUUGCAAUAGAUAAUAAGAAAUACUAAAUAAAUUUGUCGAAAUCCCCCGCCAAUCCGAC